rnacentral:lncRNA from 1 species
CAACGCUUGCCACCGCAAUGGAAAUGUAGGUACAGAUUGCAACAACUGCCCCGUCUAGGUCUAGAUUUUUCCUCUGAAAUAAACCUGAUUUCAUCCUGGAGGAUUAUCACAUUUCAGAACACAUCUCAGCCGGGGAGUGGUGGUGCAGUUUCAACACCAGAACCUGAGAGGCAGAGGAAGUCUGGGAUGUUACCAGCAUCUUCAGGAAUCAUCACAACCCUUCAUUCAGUCAGACCAGACCCUGAGGUACGGCCCCUCUCCUCAUCUCUGGAAUUUGGGAACUGGGCAAGGCCAAGAUAGAGAGGAGGCGUGGCCCUGGCACUGGAAACCUGACUCCUGUCUCCACUUCUGUAUUUUCCCCAGGCACGGAUGAAGCCAGAGGGUUUGUGGUGUCAGGAUGUUGUCUGGGGCUGCUGGUGAAGACAGGCGGUGACUGGGAUGAUCAGGGUUCGGAAUCUCCUUCCUGCCUUCCACUCAGGUGGUGCAUAAAGGUUUAGAGAAUCAGCAUUGAAAGCGUAGACAGAUCACAGUUCUGUGCCCUUCUGCUAAACUGAGCUAAAGUCUGCGUUAGGUUCAGACUAUGUAAAUGUCAAAAUGGAGUCCCAGGAACUGCCUAGGACAGACUUUCGCCAGAGCACAAUGAAGAUGACACUGGCACUGACUCUGCUGCGAUUCUGUGUCCUGCCGGGUUAGAUACGGAACCGCGCGGGAGACCGCGGAAGCUGAUCCUGCGAGCGAAGGGCGGGCUGUGGCUGCGGGUGGAGCCGCUGACCCCACACCUGGUUUGAUAUCACCCCACCCACCCACCUCAUCGGGAUCCCAGAAUUAACAGAGGUGUUGCCCACACUCGAACCUCACCAUAUACCAACAGGGGGCGCUAUGAAACCGGACUGGUGCCUUUGAGUCCAAGAGCUUUCCUGUCCUCUAGGUGACCACAGGGCUUCCUCCCUGAGCUAGACUAUCCUGUAAGAGCCACUGUAGAUGUCUAAACAAAGGAGGGAACGGGUUUGAGCUUCUGUCACUGAA